rnacentral:tRNA from 2 species
CCCCUCAUAGCUCAAUUGGUAGAGCAGCUCCCUUUUAAGGAGAAGGUUCCAGGUUCGAGACCUGGUGAGGGGA